rnacentral:rRNA from 1 species
GAUGAACGCUGGCGGCGUGCCUAAUACAUGCAAGUCGAGCGAACGGACGAGAAGCUUGCUUCUCUGAUGUUAGCGGCGGACGGGUGAGUAACACGUGGAUAACCUACCUAUAAGACUGGGAUAACUUCGGGAAACCGGAGCUAAUACCGGAUAAUAUUUUGAACCGCAUGGUUCAAAAGUGAAAGACGGUCUUGCUGUCACUUAUAGAUGGAUCCGCGCUGCAUUAGCUAGUUGGUAAGGUAACGGCUUACCAAGGCAACGAUGCAUAGCCGACCUGAGAGGGUGAUCGGCCACACUGGAACUGAGACACGGUCCAGACUCCUACGGGAGGCAGCAGUAGUGAAUCUUCCGCAAUGGGCGAAAGCCUGACGGAGCAACGCCGCGUGAGUGAUGAAGGUCUUCGGAUCGUAAAACUCUGUUAUUAGGGAAGAACAUAUGUGUAAGUAACUGUGCACAUCUUGACGGUACCUAAUCAGAAAGCCACGGCUAACUACGUG